CCUACGGGCGGCAGCAGUAGGGAAUCUUCCACAAUGGACGCAAGUCUGAUGGAGCAACGCCGCGUGAGUGAAGAAGGUUUUCGGAUCGUAAAGCUCUGUUGUUGGUGAAGAAGGAUAGAGGUAGUAACUGGCCUUUAUUUGACGGUAAUCAACCAGAAAGUCACGGCUAACUACGUGCCAGCAGCCGCGGUAAUACGUAGGUGGCAAGCGUUGUCCGGAUUUAUUGGGCGUAAAGCGAGCGCAGGCGGAAGAAUAAGUCUGAUGUGAAAGCCCUCGGCUUAACCGAGGAACUGCAUCGGAAACUGUUUUUCUUGAGUGCAGAAGAGGAGAGUGGAACUCCAUGUGUAGCGGUGGAAUGCGUAGAUAUAUGGAAGAACACCAGUGGCGAAGGCGGCUCUCUGGUCUGCAACUGACGCUGAGGCUCGAAAGCAUGGGUAGCGAACAGGAUUAGAUACCCUUGUAGUC
rnacentral:rRNA from 1 species